rnacentral:rRNA from 1 species
GUAGUCCACGCUGUAAACGAUGGAUACUAGGUGUGGGGGGACUGACCCCCUCCGUGCCGGAGUUAACACAAUAAGUAUCCCACCUGGGGAGUACGGCCGCAAGGUUGAAACUCAAAGGAAUUGACGGGGGCCCGCACAAGCAGUGGAGUAUGUGGAUUAAUUCGACGCGACGCGAAGAACCUUACCAGGACUUGACAUCCUACUAACGAAGUAGAGAUACAUUAGGUACCCUUCGGGGUAAGUAGAGACAGGUGGUGCAUGGUUGUCGUCAGCUCGUGUCGUGAGAUGUUGGGUUAAGUCCCGCAACGAGCGCAACCCUUAUGUUUAGUUGCUACGCAAGAGCACUCUAGACAGACUGCCGUUGACAAAACGGA